GGAGAUUUAAGCCUAAUUGGUAAGGCAGCAGUUUGCUAAACUGCCAGUAAUCGUAGUAAUAUGAUGUAUAGGUUCGAGUCCUAUAAUCUCCA
rnacentral:tRNA from 2 species